UGGGGAAUAUUGCACAAUGGGCGAAAGCCUGAUGCAGCAACGCCGCGUGAGCGAUGAAGGCCUUCGGGUCGUAAAGCUCUGUCCUCAAGGAAGAUAAUGACGGUACUUGAGGAGGAAGCCCCGGCUAACUACGUGCCAGCAGCCGCGGUAAUACGUAGGGGGCAAGCGUUAUCCGGAAUUACUGGGUGUAAAGGGUGAGUAGGCGGCAUGGCAAGUAAGAUGUGAAAGCCCGAGGCUUAACCUCGGGAUUGCAUUUUAAACUGCUAAGCUAGAGUACAGGAGAGGAAAGCGGAAUUCCUAGUGUAGCGGUGAAAUGCGUAGAUAUUAGGAAGAACACCAGUGGCGAAGGCGGCUUUCUGGACUGAAACUGACGCUGAGGCACGAAAGCGUGGGGAGCGAACAGG
rnacentral:rRNA from 1 species